UGUAAAUGGUGUUUUAGAAGUCAGAUGAUUAAUCUCAGUUGUCUCUAAGUGUUUGUACUUGUCCUGAACUUCUUCAUCGAUGGGACUAAAAGCAGGGAAACGCUGUAAAAUAACAAACAAAAAAACAAACCUUUAGUGGUGGUCUUAUUAAAAUACAUUCAAAGAUAUAUGAAGGGAA